rnacentral:rRNA from 1 species
UUGAACGCUGGCGGCAGGCCUAACACAUGCAAGUCGAGCGGUAGAGAGGUGCUUGCAUCUCUUGAGAGCGGCGGACGGGUGAGUAAUGCCUAGGAAUCUGCCUAGUGGUGGGGGAUAACGUUCGGAAACGGACGCUAAUACCGCAUACGUCCUACGGGAGAAAGCGGGGGAUCUUCGGACCUCGCGCCAUUAGAUGAGCCUAGGUCGGAUUAGCUAGUUGGUGAGGUAAUGGCUCACCAAGGCGACGAUCCGUAACUGGUCUGAGAGGAUGAUCAGUCACACUGGAACUGAGACACGGUCCAGACUCCUACGGGAGGCAGCAGUGGGGAAUAUUGGACAAUGGGCGAAAGCCUGAUCCAGCCAUGCCGCGUGUGUGAAGAAGGUCUUCGGAUUGUAAAGCACUUUAAGUUGGGAGGAAGGGCAGUAAGUUAAUACCUUGCUGUUUUGACGUUACCAACAGAAUAAGCACCGGCUAACUUCGUG